rnacentral:lncRNA from 1 species
AUCCCUUUAUUGUGUGAUCCCAUAGGUUCAAUUAUAUCUGGUAGUGAGAUAUACAAUGAUCUCUAUCAUAGUAUCAUUGAAACUCUUUUCAAUAGGUAAGAACAAUUUCACUCUAACUCAUCAUGGAUUGUCGAUCCUGAGCAAUCUCACAAUCCACCAGUGACACCUAGCAGUAUGUAGUGGCAAUCCAAUAGAACGAAAAAGAACUUUAAGGUAUAGUUCG